rnacentral:piRNA from 1 species
UAUUUUCUUACCAUUUCAAUCUGGGGAAGA